rnacentral:rRNA from 1 species
GACGAACGCUGGCGGCGUGCCUAACACAUGCAAGUCGAACGGAGUACCCUUCGGGGUGCUUAGUGGCGAACGGGUGAGUAACGCGUGAAGAACCUGCCUUUCAGUGGGGGACAACAGUUGGAAACGACUGCUAAUACCGCAUAAUGUUAUUUGGGGGCAUCCUCGAAUAACCAAAGAUUUAUUGCUGAAAGAUGGCUUCGCGUCUGAUUAGCUAGAUGGCGGGGUAACGGCCCACCAUGGCGACGAUCAGUAGCCGGUCUGAGAGGAUGAACGGCCACAUUGGGACUGAGAUACGGCCCAGACUCCUACGGGAGGCAGCAGUGGGGAAUAUUGGGCAAUGGGCGAAAGCCUGACCCAGCAACGCCGCGUGAAGGAAG